UCUAAAAUUGAUUGGGUAGAUUUGGUUUCAAUUUCGGAAUAUAUUGGAUUUUAAAUAAAUGACUGAUCAUCGUAUGUAUAAUACAAGUACAUGUGUUGAACCUCCAAACGAUAGUAUCUUCGCAUCAACACAUAUAUCCCAUGGUAGACGUCUCACUCGCUGGACACUUGAAAGACAGUAGUAAUCAUUUGAUCUUGACUUGGUAGCCUCACUGCCUCAGGCGUGUUGUAAGUUCGCUAUCUAUUAACCUACGGUUUUGAAGGAUUGUCAAGUGUAUUUGGAUGUGAAUAUGUGAAGACCUAGUAUCUGGAUUCAAGAUGAGGUCCUAACAUCACAAUAAAAGUUUUUUUUUAAUUAAAGGUUUCCUAAAAGUAAUUUAGAUGAAACGCGAAUAUCAACUACAGAUAAUUAAAGUGGUCCUAACAUCAUAAUAAAUAAAUUUAAGAUUAGCAGAAUAUUAACUCACAG
rnacentral:lncRNA from 1 species